GAUGAACGCUGGCGGCGUGCCUAAUACAUGCAAGUCGAGCGAACGGACGAGAAGCUUGCUUCUCUGAUGUUAGCGGCGGACGGGUGAGUAACACGUGGAUAACCUACCUAUAAGACUGGGAUAACUUCGGGAAACCGGAGCUAAUACCGGAUGAUAUUUUGUACCGCAUGGUUCAAAAGUGAAAGACGGUCUUGCUGUCACUUAUAGAUGGAUCCGCGCUGCAUUAGCUAGUUGGUAAGGUAACGGCUUACCAAGGCAACGAUGCAUAGCCGACCUGAGAGGGUGAUAGGCCACACUGGAACUGAGACACGGUCCAGACUCCUAAGGGAGGCAGCAGUAGGGAAUCUUCCGCAAUGGGCGAAAGCCUGACGGAGCAACGCCGCGUGAGUGAUGAAGGUCUUCGGAUCGUAAAACUCUGUUAUUAGGGAAGAACAUAUGUGUAAGUAACUGUGCACAUCUUGACGGUACCUAAUCAGAAAGCAACGGCUAACUACGUG
rnacentral:rRNA from 1 species